GCGAGUAUGGCCCUCACGGGUCUAAUCCACCAUAAACACCUUUGUGAACCAGUCAGGGGGACUCGGCCGCUGAAAGCCCAGGCGAUUAGCGGAAGGGCCCUCCUUUGCAAACCCGUUUAGAAGUCUUGAAAGUACUUUUGUAUAAUCUAGUA
rnacentral:misc_RNA from 1 species